rnacentral:rRNA from 1 species
UCGGGAAUUUUGGGCAAUGGGGGAAACCCUGACCCAGCAACGCCGCGUGAAGGAUGAAGUAUUUCGGUAUGUAAACUUCGAAAGAAUAGGAAGAAUAAAUGACGGUACUAUUUAUAAGGUCCGGCUAACUACGUGCCAGCAGCCGCGGUAAUACGUAGGGACCAAGCGUUGUUCGGAUUUACUGGGCGUAAAGGGCUCGUAGGCGGCCAACUAAGUCAGACGUGAAAUCCCUCGGCUUAACCGGGGAACUGCGUCUGAUACUGGAUGGCUUGAGGUUGGGAGAGGGAUGCGGAAUUCCAGGUGUAGCGGUGAAAUGCGUAGAUAUCUGGAGGAACACCGGUGGCGAAGGCGACAUCCUGGACCAAUUCUGACGCUGAGGAGCGAAAGCCAGGGGAGCAAACGGGAUUAGAUACCCAAGUAGUCCCUGAGCGGGCUGGCAAGGCGCAU